UACAGAGGUCUCAAGCGUUGUUCGGAUUCAUUGGGCGUAAAGGGUGCGUAGGUGGCGCCGUAAGUCAGGUGUGAAAUUUCGGAGCUUAACUCCGAAGCUGCAUUUGAUACUGCGGUGCUUGAGGACUGGAGAGGAGACUGGAAUUUACGGUGUAGCAGUGAAAUGCGUAGAGAUCGUAAGGAAGACCAGUGGCGAAGGCGGGUCUCUGGACAGUUCCUGACACUGAGGCACGAAGGCCAGGGGAGCAAACGGG
rnacentral:rRNA from 1 species